GGUUGUGUAGUGUAGUGGUUAUCACUCGAGAUUUUGAAGGAAUCCGGUGUUCCGAAUCUUCUCGUAACCCCGGUUCGAACCCGGGCACGACCU